GGCCUCCCAAUGCUUACCAUAGGCUGUGUUCUUUACACUGUAUAGAAGAGGAGGUACAGUAAAUGCUCCCCAUAUUCACCUCAAACCAGGCUCUUUGCUUGGUCUGUAUUGUGAAUGGGGGAACAAAA